GCUGGGUAACUGGCUGGGGGAAGUGGCGAAAGGGGCAGUAAGGCAUGGGUAACUUGCCCCGGAGUCUGGAAUAGCCAUCCUAACGGAUGGGUAAUACUGGAUGUCGUACGAUGGGGGCCUCCUCGUGGUACGAAAGCUCUGGCGCUCCGGGAGGGGCCCAUGUAGUAUUAGCUAGUUGGUGGGGUAACGGCCUACCAAGGCGAAGAUGCUUAGCAGGUGUGAGAGCACGACCUGCGCCACUGGCACUGGGACACUGGGCAGACUCCUAUGGGAGGCUGCAGUCGAGAAUCUUCGGCAAUGGGCGCAAGCCUGACCGAGCGAUUCCGCGUGAGCGAUGAAGGCCUUCGGGUUGUAAAGCUCUGUCGAGGGGGGGAAAGGGAAACUUGAUCGACCCCUGGAGGAAGCACGGGCUAAGUUCGUGCCAGCAGCCGCGGUAAGACGAACCGUGCAAACGUUGUUCGGAAUCACUGGGCUUAAAGGGCGCGUAGGCGGGCAGGCAAGUCGGAGGUGAAAGCCCGCGGCUCAACCGUGGAAGUGCCUUCGAUACUGCAUGUCUAGAGGGAGGUAGGGGCGUGCGGAACUUCCGGUGGAGCGGUGAAAUGCGUAGAUAUCGGAAGGAACACCGGUGGCGAAAGCGGCACGCUGGAUCUCUACUGACGCUGAGGCGCGAAAGCCAGGGGAGCAAACGGGAUUAGAUACCCCGGUAGUCCUGGCCCUAAACGUUGGGUACUAGGUAGUGGACUUACAUGGGUUCACUGCCGAAGCAAAAGUUUUAAGUACCCCGCCUGGGGAGUAUGGUCGCAAGGC
rnacentral:rRNA from 1 species